GAUGAACGCUGGCGGCGUGCCUAAUACAUGCAAGUCGAGCGAACAGACGAGGAGCUUGCUCCUCUGACGUUAGCGGCGGACGGGUGAGUAACACGUGGAUAACCUACCUAUAAGACUGGGAUAACUUCGGGAAACCGGAGCUAAUACCGGAUAAUAUAUUGAACCGCAUGGUUCAAUAGUGAAAGACGGUUUUGCUGUCACUUAUAGAUGGAUCCGCGCCGCAUUAGCUAGUUGGUAAGGUAACGGCUUACCAAGGCCACGAUGCGUAGCCGACCUGAGAGGGUGAUCGGCCACACUGGAACUGAGACACGGUCCAGACUCCUACGGGAGGCAGCAGUAGGGAAUCUUCCGCAAUGGGCGAAAGCCUGACGGAGCAACGCCGCGUGAGUGAUGAAGGUCUUCGGAUCGUAAAACUCUGUUAUUAGGGAAGGACAAAUGUGUAAGUAACUAUGCACGUCUUGACGGUACCUAAUCAGAAAGCCACGGCUAACUACGUG
rnacentral:rRNA from 1 species